rnacentral:rRNA from 1 species
GCCCAGACUCCUACGGGAGGCAGCAGUGAGGAAUAUUGGUCAAUGGGCGGGAGCCUGAACCAGCCAAGUCGCGUGAGGGAAGACGGUCCUAUGGAUUGUAAACCUCUUUUGUCGGGGAGCAAAGAGGCCUCGUGAGGUCAAAAGCGAGAGUACCCGAAGAAAAAGCAUCGGCUAACUCCGUGCCAGCAGCCGCGGUAAUACGGAGGAUGCGAGCGUUAUCCGGAUUUAUUGGGUUUAAAGGGUGCGUAGGCGGGACGGUAAGUCAGCGGUAAAAAUUCGGGGCGCAACCCCGUCGUGCCGUUGAAACUGCAUCCCUUGAGUGCGCGAGAAGUAUGCGGAAUGCGUGGUGUAGCGGGGAAAUGCAUAGAUAUCACGCAGAACUCCGAUUGCGAAGGCAGCAUACCGGCGCGCAACUGACGCUCAUGCACGAAAGCGUGGGUAUCGAACAGGAUUAGAGACCCGAGUAUA